UUCUUUGUACCCUUUUGCAGGCUGGUGCUUCUUUGGAAUCUCUUGCUAAGGGUACUAAGAACUCAAUGGGCUUGUCAACAAUUGCACUGAAUUGCACAGAAGGUAGCUAUUAGUUUGGAGAAGGCCGCAUAAUCUGACGAAUAUUUUAUUAAGAGGAAGCUUUAUCCAAAUGUUGAUUUCUAUUCUGGGUUAAUAUAUCGGGCCAUGGGAUUUCCACCAGAGUUCUUCACUUUGUUAUUUGCAAUCCCUCGAAUGGCUGGGUACUUGGCACACUGGCACGAGUCUCUAGAUGAUCCCGAUACAAAGAUAAUAAGACCCCAACAGCAGAAAUUGUGAGAGUGAAGGAGGGGGAAAGAAGAUGAAAGCAAAAAGGAAACUUGGUGAUAGUGUAGACGUAAAACGGGACUUAAAACGGCAGAGGGUUGUGGAUUCACCAUCUUCACCUCCUGAAGAGUCACUGUGCCUUAUAAUGACGAUGAAGAUGAUGAAAGGAGAGCACUGAAUCACAUAGGCAGCAGAGAAGAAGAUGGUCACAGAGUUGAAAGUGAAGAAGAAGAUGAUGAAGAUGAUCCAUUUCAGUUUAAUUUCAAAAGGUUUUUGAAUUUCCAUUUUAGUCUAUAA